CCCAGGUGCCACUACCACCACCUUGUUAAAGACAAAACUCUCCUGGUUCCCUUCCACCAGUGUUGGCCCUUGAGAUGCUUCCUUGGAGCACUACAGGAAAAGUUGAAAAUUACAAAAGCAGCAGCAGAAGCUGAAAGGCCAUUUCUGCAGGUCUGAUUCAUAGGAAAUAAUGUAUUUUUGUGCAAGCUGUCAAAGCAAAAUUGCGUCAGAACUUUAUUCAACAUGACUGGAUUGCAGAGUCAGGUCCUCUGAAUUAAAGUCUUGAACUUACGGAAGAACUAACUGAGUAUGGUUUCAUCAUUAUAGUAAAAAACAUGCCAAUGAAGAAUAGAUUAAUUUUCCUUUCUGUUGAUGAAUUCUUGGAGACUUUUAUAUGAUUCAAUGCGUUUUAUGAGCUAUGCUUCCAGGAAUGCUGGCAGAAAACAGGAUAGUCGAAACUUCACCAUCGUGUCAGCUUUAUUUUAACCAGCCUCUACUGACUGCUGGAAAUGAGGAACACAUGAGCCAUCAGCAGUUCUGACUGUGUGCAGUACCUCUGUCUUCUCACCUUACCUUGCAGCCUGCCUGCUUUACUGACUUUAUCAUGCUCAAAGGCCCCAUUAAAUUGUUUCAGAAGGGAGGAGCAGGGCAAAGAGUUGAACAACUGGGUCUUUCAAGAUGGGGAAGUAGAUGCUCUGCCAGAAGCCCAGCCAGCAAGUGGGACCAUUUGCAAAUCUGCAGCUUACUGUGCUUUCUGGCAAGGUGCUGUGCAACAUUGCCUUUGAAGAGUUCACAUGAAGGUGGCUGUCUGGAUUUUAAGCCCUGGGUGAAACCCUGUUCCUUCCUCUCCCUUCCUUCCUACACCUUCCCUGAUUUAUGUUUUCAUAGGAAGUAUAUUUUUUUUUAGGCUGGCCAAGGUAGAAUCUGCUAUCCAGGGCAACCCAGUGAGCACUGUGUUUGUGUAUGCCAUGCUUGUGUGUCCUGUGCUCUCUUUAAUACAGGUGCACAGACAUUGUCUUCCCUGAAAUUGCACAUUCAGAUAAACUGUCUCCAGACUGUUAGCAUAAGGAACCAAAGACCAAAAUAGAGCUCUGCCCCAUAGUCAGGGUAUUCUGGGUUAUUUUGCCUUCAGACACUUUGCAGCUAAACAGUUAUACCGAUGUUUAAGGGAAUAUACAUUCUGGAUCUUAAAGCAACUGCUUGCGUCAAUCUAGUAGUCCUUCCAGGCCACUGUGCAGCCUCUAACGACCUGUGGCAGAUGGUCAGGAAAAGGAUGGCAGAAAAAUGGAAGUGAGCACAGUGACCAUGAGUUUGGCAUACUCCUCUCAGAAAUCAAAUGCUUUGGACCUUUGGAGAUGAAGGAUGCAUCCAGACCAUCAUGCUGAGGUGCCACCUACCCCCUGUUCAUUCAGUCCAUCAUUUUCUAAACUAUUUUUCCUGUGGAUGACUCUCACCUCAGGCUUUCAGUGAAUACUAUAUUACUCUAUGCCAUAUAUAAAAAAAUACCUCCUCCUGCUUAUAAAAUCACUCUCAGUAAGUUCACUGGAAAAUCUUCAGCUUUGAUAUUAUGAGCAAUAAUAAGAAUCACAAAUCAUUUCAUUCACAGUGCUGAAAGUUUUGCAGACUCCUGUAUCCCUGCAGAUGCUUCGCUCCAGGGUAAAGAAUUGUCAACUAAAAGUGAUUAAUCCUUAAUAUGAGAGGUAAAUCAUCCUGAUUAUCCCUAUUUCCCUGCUCGCUGCCUUUCCUGGUUCUCUUAAACUGAUCUAGAAAUGAGGUGACAAGAGCUGCAGGAGGUCUCUGGAGUGUGACUGUGCUGUGCAGUCACAGUCAUGUAAUCAUGUUCUGCUGUACCCUUCUCUUUCUGACCAGCGCUGAAUGUUACUAUGCAGUCUGUAUCUGAGCAGACCUGCUUUGUACUGAGUAUCCAGACAAACAAGUUUUAGAAAGUUCAACUUUCUAGUAAUUAUUUAAAUGAUAAUGGAUCUUCCAUACAGAAUAGAACCUGAUUUUUUGUUUUUUUUAGCUUAUACCUAAAAUAUAGCACAGGAAAAAAUAAAAUAACAA
ensembl:lncRNA